rnacentral:lncRNA from 10 species
CCGUGUGAAUGGGACUUCCUGAAGUUGUGAAACACAGGGGCUGCGAGAGAGGCACAGGGACUAGUCCAAACCCCAGGGUCCGUGGAAGAGCCGGGACUUUAACCCAGAGCUAAGGCACUUCCUGGCAACUGGGGCAGUGCUGCUGAGGGUGCUCUGGGGAAUGCGGAGGGUAAGUCUGGCCUCAUGGGUCUAUGCCCAGCAGGCAGGCCUGGAAGGCUUGCUGUCCAAUCCAGCCAUUUCUGAAGGGGAAGCCUUCCCUGCAGGAGGAUCCACAGCCUCCCACAUCUCGCCCUGAUCCUGAGCAGCUCUUCAGGAGAGCCCGGCAGAGAGCAGCAAGUGCUUGUAUUCCAUGCCCCAGGCCUUCCAAGGAUGACCCACCUCCAUGAUGCACUGUGUUACUCACUGGCUGUGGGACUUCUGGAGUCAUUCAAGCACUGUGUAAAAUGGAAAUAACAUCACAGCAGAUAAGGAGCGUUCAGUGAGACGAUACAUGCAGAAUGCUUAGCGCCAUGCCAGGCCCACGGUAAGCUGUCAGUAACCGUGAGCCCUUCUUGUCCUUAUCAUUGUUGUUAUUGUUUCUAAAACUAAGCAGAACCAGCACUCUUGGUAGACAAACACCUUAACUCUUGGUUGAUUUUCUGUUUUAACAUUUUACCGUACUCUCCUCCUUUCUGCACUAUCUCAAACACCUAAUUAUCUACAGAAAACAUUCAGCUGUCUGUUGCUUGCUUUCUUUUCAUCAAUGAAAACACAUGGUUUUAUUUCUUCCUUCUUUCCUAAAACAGACAUCUAAAUAUUGAUAGAGUUUCUGCCACAUCCCUGACAUGACAGCCAUUGAAACCAAAAAGACUGAGAGGGUCCCAGGACUAAGGAGGGGAAGUCAGUGAGUAAUCACAUAAGUUAGUAUGUAAUUACAAUUUAGAAGUGUGUUCUAGAUGGCAUGACAGAGGGAGGAGAGAGCUUGGAUGUCUUAAGCUACAGCGUUCUGUAGACCUCGUUUGGCCCCUGAGACUGCACAUGAGGUAUGUUCCACAACAGGACAAAAUCGAUGCUCCAGGACCUCCAUCCCUAGUGUGCUCGGAUGAGUUUGGAUGCAGAGGGUAGUGUGGGGUGGGGAGGUGCGGGAGGGCCAUUCUCAGCUACAGCAGCUACACACAGGACCCGCUGAGUGACUUUGAUGAGUCAC